AAAUAAAGCAAAUAUAAAGACAUGACAGUCAACAACUAAUACUAUGUUGCACAAUGGAAUCAUCUCUAUGCAACUGAAAAAUACAUUUUUUUUUUAAAUAGCACAGUUCAACUUUGUAAAACCAACAAUGCUUUCGUUGAUUUAUUUGACACCGGCAGGUAAACACUGGAUAACCAGGGAUCCAAUAAACACACAGCAAGGCUUUAAAAACAGAGUGUGAACUUACAGUGAUGGAUCCAUCACGUGGACGCUGGUUACUAACAGUAGAAUCAUGGUCAUCUGUCCAGGGAAAAUAAGAUCAUUCAGAUGAUAAUUAACAUACACUAUUAUAAAAUAACUGUUAAGAUAAUUAGGUAUAAAGGUAAGAGAUUAAAUGUACCUCUAUGUAACGUUUUAGUUGGUGUUGUACAGGGAGAUGAUGAAUGGAACAUCCACCACAACGGCUCCUGCUCUUCUCCAGACACAGAAGUUACCAGCUGGCGCUGCGUCCGACUCUGAGGCAGACCAUGUCGAAAACGUUCUAUGUAUCUUCAAAAAGCAAAGGAGUGUUGCUGCCAAGCCGAGAUGCACGGUCAGGAGACUGCCAAGACUCAGCAGCGACAGAUUGUCCACCAGUAGAAGAAAAAUGGCGAUCAUGUUUCUUUAAUAGGUCCUGAUUUCUCUGAGCAAUUGAUGGUAACUUUGCA